UACGUAGGGGGCAAGCGUUGUCCGGAGUUACUGGGCGUAAAGCGCACGCAGGCGGUCUCUUAAGUUUGGAGUGACAGUUGGUGGCUUAACUGCCAAAGUGCUUCGAAAACUGAGAGACUUGAGGGCUUCAGAGGGACACGGAAUUCCGGGUGGAGUGGUGAAAUGCGUAGAGAUCCGGAGGAACACCAAAGGCGAAGGCAGUGUCCUGGGGAGUACCUGACGCUCAGGCACGAAAGCGUGGGGAGCAAACAGG
rnacentral:rRNA from 1 species